UAAUGAUUUGUUCAUGGUCACACAAAAAAGAUUGUCUAAAAUAUUUAUUUUAUGCAAUUGGAGAAUAGCCAGCUAAGAUCCAGUCAGUAUAGAGUGGUCAGAUUUGUUCUUCCUGGUAGAUUAUACAGAUCUUGCACAGAUAUUUCCUGCUUCGUUCCAAUCCAACAUAUGGAACAUUGGGGAGCCUGUUUCCAGCCAUGUAUGACUGAUAGGUUGGAACUGUGUGAUGAUGAAGAAUUCUCUGACUGGCUGUGGGGUGGGAAGAAGUGAUGAUUCAGGACAUGCUGAGCCAGACCUGAGUUCACAUACAGAAGGGACUUUUAGCCAAUACCUCCCUCUUUUUCCUUCCCUGUGGUUAGGAAGGCAAGAACUUGUUGUGAGCUGCUAAGAGGGGGAGUGGCAACACGUUAUGUCUGUGAACACACAGUUCCUCUGUUUUUUGUUCCUCUCUCAUCUCAGGUAGGAGUGUAUUGGGAAGCGGAGUGAACCAGAUUUUUGAUGUGAACUUUGAAAAAUUAGAGGAAGUGCUUGUAGAUGGAUGUAAACACAGUCACUUUAGUCCAGCAGUGUUUGCAAGUUCUGAUGAUGGAGAGAAGUGCCGAUUAUGGACUCUAGAAAGACACAGAUCCCAGAAGUCCAAUCUCAUGAGGACUCCACAAAGGAAGGAAAAGGUCUCAUAGGGCCAGCAAUCUUGAGGAAUUUUUCCACUACGCCAUGGCUGCUAAUCUUCACAUGAGUGACAUGAGUGAUAUAUGCCAAGAUUUUCUUGGGAAGUGGCCAACCACCCACCAUUAUGAUUGUCACAACAACCUUGAGAGACCUUCAUGUUGAUCCAUGACAUUAUUGUAUAUUGCCUCAUUGGACCCUCCCACAACAAUCUUAAGGGGUGGACAAGAUGAGAAAACUGAAGCACACAGAGAUCA